rnacentral:miRNA from 1 species
AAGAUUUUUUUUUUGAAAG